CCUACGGGAGGCUGCAGUGGGGAAUAUUGGACAAUGGGCGAAAGCCUGAUCCAGCCAUGCCGCGUGUGUGAAGAAGGCCUUCGGGUUGUAAAGCACUUUCAGUGGGGAAGAAAGCCUUGGGGCUAAUACCCUCGAGGAAGGACAUCACCCACAGAAGAAGCACCGGCUAACUCCGUGCCAGCAGCCGCGGUAAUACGGAGGGUGCGAGCGUUAAUCGGAAUUACUGGGCGUAAAGCGCGCGUAGGCGGUCUGAUAAGCCGGUUGUGAAAGCCCCGGGCUCAACCUGGGAACGGCAUCCGGAACUGUCAGGCUAGAGUGCAGGAGAGGAAGGUAGAAUUCCCGGUGUAGCGGUGAAAUGUGUAGAGAUCGGGAGGAAUACCAGUGGCGAAGGCGGCCUUCUGGACUGACACUGACGCUGAGGUGCGAAAGCGUGGGUAGCAAACAGGAUUAGAUACCCUAGUAGUC
rnacentral:rRNA from 1 species